rnacentral:rRNA from 1 species
AGCGAACGCUGGCAGCAGGCUUAACACAUGCAAGUCGAACGGGCACUUCGGUGCUAGUGGCAGACGGGUGAGUAACACGUGGGAACGUACCUUUCGGUUCGGAAUAAUCCAGGGAAACUUGGACUAAUACCGGAUACGCCCUUCGGGGGAAAGAUUCAUCGCCGAUAGAUCGGCCCGCGUCUGAUUAGCUAGUUGGUGAGGUAAUGGCUCACCAAGGCGACGAUCAGUAGCUGGUCUGAGAGGAUGAUCAGCCACAUUGGGACUGAGACACGGCCCAAACUCCUACGGGAGGCAGCAGUGGGGAAUAUUGGACAAUGGGCGCAAGCCUGAUCCAGCCAUGCCGCGUGAGUGAUGAAGGCCUUAGGGUUGUAAAGCUCUUUUGUCCGGGAAGAUAAUGACUGUACCGGAAGAAUAAGCCCCGGCUAACUUCGUG